AUCAGAAAGCUCCGCAGUUCUUGAGUUCCACAUGCAGAGCAGAUGCGACAGCUAGAAGUGAGUAGGGCCCAGACCCUGGCCCAGGAAGAUCCACUAAAGGAGGCCAUCCUUCCGCCUUCUUCUGCAGGAGUCAGGGGGCGUGUAAAGGUGAUUUGUUCGCCAAGAAAAGCACUUUUAGUAAAGCACAGAUGUUAAUCUAGAUCAUGGAAAAGUGCCACACACUAGAUUUAGCACAUAAGCAAGGAGUCUCUAGAACACUCAGAAGAAAAUGAAUGAAUCCAUGAAUGAAUGGACAAGUGAGAGCCCAGAGCAGCUGAAGCCAUGAAGUGCUUUGGAAAGAGAAGCGUGCCUGGGAAAAGAGAGUGGCUGAGUGCUAAGAGCAGGGUGAACACCAUGGAAAACUUGAAAUUGAAAACAUCACAAUUUUAAUGAGAAAAAGCGCAACCCAAAGUGAAGAGCACCAUUAUAACAAAGGAUGGAAAGGCAGAUGUAAAGUCCCUCAUGGCGAAAUAUAACACGGGGGGCAACCCGACAGAGGAUGUCUCAGUCAAUAGCCGACCCUUCAGAGUCACAGGGCCAAACUCAUCUUCAGGAAUACAAGCAAGAAAGAACUUAUUCAACAACCAAGGAAAUGCCAGCCCUCCUGCAGGACCCAGCAAUGUACCUAAGUUUGGGUCCCCAAAGCCAC
rnacentral:lncRNA from 10 species